AUUUGUGUUUGUUGUGCUAGGUAUUAAACUCUGAAGUGAGAACUUGUGAUUUUCUGAUGUGAAAUUUAGUAGAGAAAUUCAUGACAUAAACGUUAGACUAUGUAUGUUUCAUAUUCAUAAUUUGUAUAUUGCUCAAUUGAUUAGAACACAGUCUAUGUUGCACAAAAUAAUAUUUUAUAUGUUGUGAAAGUUUGUUAUGCUUUUAAUGGUUUUGCAUUGUUUAAUUUUGUUUCAUCAUAGUCCAUGACAAAGUGACCUAGUGCUUCAGAACUACAGUAUUUCAAAUAAUUUGUGGUGCACAUAAUAUGUAAAGCUUACUGUAAUUCAUUUUAUUUGUGCAGUGAAAAGCUAUUAAUCUAUGUUAUAUUGUAAACAUAAUUAUGCAUGCACCAAACAUGUUUUGUGUUUUUGAAAAUAUUAAGCGAUACUACAUUGUAAAUUUUAUGGACUGACAGUCUUAUUCUGGAAAACUAUAAGAAAUAAUAUUUCAAAAGAAUUAUAUGAGACUUAUGAUGUUACAUCAUGAUACAGAAUUCCAAUUACUAGAAUAACUUUUAUUUUAAUUUGACACACAAUUUGCCCAAAUUCUGUCUGUGGUUCACAAUAUUCUGUAGAAUAUUCUUCCAGACAUAGUCAGAAUUCUGGACAAUUCUGACUGCAAUUCUGGAGAAGUAAUUCACGGUUUGCCCAAAUUCUGUCUGAGGUUCCCAGAAUUCUGCAGAAUAUUCUUGCAGAAUUGUAAUCACAAUUCUGGAGAAUUCUGAAGAUCUGCCAUGUCCCUGGUGUAAAGACAUCUAAUUGUUAACUAAAUUCAAAUGUUGCUAACUUUUUUUGCCAAAUCUUACUUAUAGACAUUAUUCACUUGGACAAUCUAAUAAGAAAGACAUAUUUUCCAUAAUUAGUCUGUCAGUCUGAAAUUAUUAGUGUCAUACUGUUGAAUUUUAGGUUUGUUGUGAGAAAUGUUGUGCUUUUGUUGGCAAACAAAGAUGUGAUAGAGAAAGACAGCAAGGAAGCUAGCAAGGGAGUGUGAUAGCAGAGUUGUCUCUAGAUUUUCUCCAAGCAGAUGUUAGGACAGAAAAGGUAAAAAGGUAAAUGUACAGAGGCCGUUGGGGCUGUUUGUUGAGUUUAGGGUAUGGUAUCAGUGCACAUGCGCACUUGGAACUGUGAUCGCACUUAUUACUCUGCAUAUUCUGCAAAAUUCUUAAUAUGAUAUACUGCAUUCCUUAGUAGGAGUUGUGGGUUAGUGAAGAGAUAUGGAAAUGAGUGGAAGAAUCAAGUGUAUCUGGUUGGAUAUAUUUUAAAGCACAAAUGUGGUAAGGCGAAUAAAACAAUAUGUGUGAAAUAUG